CGCGGCUGAAGUCUGCAGCUGCUCGGUCGCCUGUUGAACCGUAACACCGGAGAAGUCGGGAUCCAGAAAUGGCAGCGCACGAGGACUUCUUCCUGGGCAUCCGCAAGAUCCCGUACUCACCCAACGCCGGGCCCGCAGAUGUGCUGUGCUUCAGACACUACAAUGCGGAGGAGGUGCUGAUGGGGAGGAAGAUGGAGGACUGGCUGAGGUUCUCCGUGUGCUACUGGCACUCCUUCUGCGGCACUGGAGCUGAUCCCUUUGGGGCUCCGACGCUGCACCGGCCCUGGAAUGAAGGCGCUCCGAUGGACUCCGCCAAGAAGCGACUGCGGGCUGCUUUUGAGUUUUUCACCAAGCUCGGUGUGAAAUACUACACAUUUCAUGACCGGGAUAUGGCUCCUGAGGGCUCCACCCUGGAGGAGUCCAACAGGAAUCUGGAUGAAAUAACAGACCUGGCCCUCCAGCUGCAGAGCCAGACUGGAAUCCAGGUGCUGUGGGUCACCUGCAACCUCUUUGCCCACCAGAGGUACAUGAAUGGUGCGGCCACCAACCCGGACUGUCACGUUCUGGCCUACGCUGGCGCUCAGCUCAAGAAGGGGCUCGACACCGCCAAGAAGCUGGGUGCAGAGAAUUUCGUGUUUUGGGGAGGACGGGAAGGGUUCCUCUCCGUCCACAACACGGACGUUGCUCUGGAACUGAAGCACAUGGCCAACUUCUUCAAAAUGGCCGUCAAGUACAAAGACAAGAUUGGGUUGAAGUGUCAGUUUCUAAUCGAGCCCAAGCCCAAGGAGCCCUGCAAACACCAGUAUGACUACGAUGCUAUGAGCGUCAUCGGAUUCCUCAAGCACUACGGUCUGGAGAGUCACUUCAAGCUGAACAUUGAGCCCAACCACACCACGCUGGCAGGACACUCGUACGAACACGAUGUUGUCAUGGCGUCUGCGCUCGGGAUGCUGGGAUCCGUUGACGCUAACACGGGCUCCCCUGACCUGGGCUGGGACACAGACCAGUUCCCCAUGGACAUCAGGAACACCACCAUGGUCAUGAAGGUCAUCGUUGAACAAGGAGGUCUGCAGCCCGGAGGCCUGAACUUUGAUGCGAAGGUGCGCCGGGAGUCCACGGACCUGGAGGACCUGUUCAUCGCUCACAUCGGGGCCAUGGACGCCUUCGCCAGAGGACUCAGAAAUGCUGUUCGCAUCAUUACGGACGGGCUGAUCUCUGGCAUGGUGAAGGAGCGUUACUCAAGUUUCAGUCACGGCCUUGGACAGAGAGUGGAUGAAGGUUCUGCCUCCUUGGAGGAAAUGGAGGCUUUCAUCAAACAGAACGGAGAGCCAGAUGUUACUUCAGGCAAGCAAGAAAAAUAUGAAUCCAUCUUCAAUCAAUACAUAUAAUGAACGCAUCACCCUUCUGUGUCUAUGUGACGUGAUCAGAAAGUUACAAAAG
ensembl:lncRNA